AUCGCUUCUCGGCCUUUUGGCUAAAAUCAAGUGUAGUAUCUAAUCUGAAUUUUCCCAGGGCUAACUUUUAAAGCAUUGAAAGAACCCUUAAAACAUUCUUGUUUUUCCUUUCUACGUCAGAGGUGUACUUCCUGAUGUAUGAUAAAACCUAA
rnacentral:snRNA from 1 species